rnacentral:rRNA from 1 species
UACCAGCACCCCGAGUGGUCGGGACGUUUAUUGGGCCUAAAGCAUCCGUAGCCGGUUCUACAAGUCUUCCGUUAAAUCCACCUGCUCAACAGAUGGGCUGCGGAAGAUACUAUGGAGCUAGGAGGCGGGAGAGGCAAGCGAUACUCGAUGGGUAGGGGUAAAAUCCGUUGAUCCAUUGAAGACCACCAGUGGCGAAGGCGGCUUGCCAGAACGCGCUCGACGGUGAGGGAUGAAAGCUGGGGGAGCAAACCGG